CAGCAGCAGCCACGGGAAUACGUAGGUGGCGAGCGUUGUCCGGAAUUAUUGGGCGUAAAGGGAGCGCAGGCGGGCGAGUAAGUCUUUCUUAAAAGUGCGGGGCUCAACCCCGUGAGGGGAGAGAAACUACUCAUCUUGAGUGCAGGAGAGGAAAGCGGAAUUCCUAGUGUAGCGGUGAAAUGCGUAGAUAUUAGGAAGAACUCCAGUGGCGAAGGCGGCUUUCUGGACUGUAACUGACGCUGAGGCUCGAAAGCCAGGGGAGCGAACGGGAUUAGAUACCCCAGUAGUCCCUGUCUCUUAUACA
rnacentral:rRNA from 1 species